UUUAAGUUAGGGCAAGUCUUUGUUGGCUUGGGCAUUGAGGGCCUCUAAUUUUGAGGCCCAUGGGGGAUGGAAAAAAAAAAAUUAAAAAAUUUAAGUUAGGGCAAGUGUUUCAGACGACACAAUCUGCUUUGACACUCCGCAGGACGCAGCCUCCGUAUAGCUUCAGGCUCAGGUGACACCGUGACAAGAAACUCAGAAAUGAACCAUUUUCGGUCACCGGAGAGGAAUUCUUUCAACCUGAAAGGAGAUGAUGAUAAUAACUCUAAAUUAGGCUCCACGACCGGUCUGAAUCGCAAGAAAGUCUGAAUCACAGCAAUUUCUUCUGCAGAAACUAGGGUUUGUGUUGUGUUUGUUCGCUGAUCGUCAUCAAUUUUACUAUGGAUCUUGAUAAAGAACCAAAACCUGAUAAAGAACCAAAACCUGAUCUUGAAGAUUACCAAAUAGACCGUUCAUAUAUAAAGAUGAGAGAACAGGCUAAGACUCCGUCGGUAAAGCUAAGGAUAAAGAAUCAAUACUAGAAGGUUACAGAUCUGGUGUGAGGAGCUAUUAUUUUGAAUUUGAAUGCAAAGAAGCCUGGGCGGAAAAACUGUGGAAGGGACAGAAGAUGCUCGAAAUUGGUGUUUGCGCAGAAAAUGGAGAUAUCAAAGAGGAGCCACUGAUUCAAUACUGAUGUUGAAGGAAUUCAGAACUCUAUAUCUGUUGAGACCGAGUGAUGUUGCUGUGGACUUCAAUCAAGAAGUGAUUGUGAUUAGUCAUGAAGGAUUUGAUUCCUAUUUUGUUGAGUGGUUGAAGCUUGGAAACAACACAAAGCUGAGAGUCUGCCUUUUUUUUGUAAACACAUUCGGUGACUAUGAAUUCAAGGAAUUCUGGAUUGAAUCGAUGAUGAGGUAAGAAUAUAUUUUUAUUUCAAAAAACUCAGUUUCUUUAUUUGAGUAGUACAUUAUAAUAAUACAACUUUUUACUAUCAAGUCCAGAAACAUUCUAGAUAUAAUAGGGUAUCUACACUAAAUGGGUAGAGCCCAUGGAAAUGUUCUACGUGAUGGCUCAUAUCCUUCUAUGGAUGAAAUGAUGGCAGAAGCAACCACAGUCCAUAAGUUGUCAAAGGCGCCUACAGGCGCCAGCUUGUCUCCUAUAAGGGACUAAGGCGACUGCCUUUGCAUAGGCGCAAGGCUACAGGCAGCACAAAGGGCACCUGAUUGAACCUAGCCUUUUAUUUAUUGUUUAUUAUUACUUUUUGUUUGGUAUUUGUUUAUUAUUACGUUUUAGAGAACCUUACAAAAUAAAAAAGAAUAAAAGAAAAGAAAAAGCAAAAAAGCAGAAGGAAAGUCAAAAGUGGUUCGAAGCAAAAGGAAAGAGACAGAGGGCUAGGGCUUGCGAAACAAAGAGGAUCUGCCGAGAUCUCUCGAAUCUGCCGACUUCUCUCACGGGCAUCCAUCUAUUGAAACACCCUUUGUUAUUGAAUGAGAGAGAGAUUUCAAUACUUUGUGGCUCUCUGCCAUCAUUUGGGAUAUCAUCACAGGGAUUGUACUUUUAACACUGACCAGAAAAUCAAUCAAGAGUUGAUCAAUCCAUGGGGAAAGGCAAAUUGGAUAGAUAAGGUUCGCAUGGAGCAUAAAAAGCGAGUUUGUGUUCCUUAUGAGGUUCCACAGUAUCAAGAAAAUGAGGCUGGAAGUGUAAACCAAUACAAAUCUUGUAUGUCUGAUUCGGUUCGUUUUGUUGAUAAUACAACUCAUCAUGGUUGUGACCAUGCAAAGAAUUUUAAGGAACUGAUAUAUCUUGAAGAAGAUGUAGCCAUGGAGUUGGGACACCAGAUUUCCUAGCUUUCUCUCAGCCUUACUCAAGGUUUCGGUCGAAGUGGUUAAUUAUCCGAUAAUGUAGCUUCUAAUCUUAAUAUGCUCAGGUACAGUGAUAUAACAUGAUUUAGCCAGAAUUUAGUUGUGUUUACAGUGAUUUUAGUAACACAAUCCGUGGUAAUUGAUGUUUCCUUGGUAUUUUGUCACUUAAUAGUUCUUGAAUGUGAACCAGAAUUUAGUUGUGUUUCCAGUGAUUUUAUUACCACUAUCAGUGGGAAUAUUUUGUCAACAAGGUUUAGACUGUUUUGUUUUCUCUAA